rnacentral:rRNA from 1 species
UACGGGGGGAGCAAGCGUUGUUCGGAUUUACUGGGCGUAAAGGGCGCGUAGGCGGCCUGUGCAAGUCAGUUGUGAAAUCUCCGGGCUUAACUCGGAACGGUCAACUGAUACUGCUCGGCUAGAGUGCGGAAGGGGCAACUGGAAUUCUCGGUGUAGCGGUGAAAUGCGUAGAUAUCGAGAGGAACACCUGCGGCGAAGGCGGGUUGCUGGGCCGACACUGACGCUGAUGCGCGAAAGCCAGGGGAGCGAACGGG